CCCCCACGCGCGGCCGGCAGCUGGAGCGCGGCGGGGCGCGCGGCAGCCCGCGCUGCCGGCGAUGUUUGGAAACUUGAACGCCAGAUCGCGCCCUCGCCCUCCGCCCCGGCCCGCGCCCGGGCAGCGCAUGCACCCUGCGGGGGGGGGGUGGGGGGUUCCUGUUGUGUGUUUUUUUUUUUUUUUUUGUUUUUUUUUUUUUUUUCUUCCUGGCCGGGCUUUCUAAGUUCAAACGUCUCGUUUUCAGGAUUUUGUAAACCCGCGGAUCGCCCCGCUUUGCCUCCGUGACGGCUGCGCGGCGUCCUGCCACCGAGGCUGUCGGUGGGAUUCCCGUGCGCUCCGGCUGCUGAGGCAAAUGGGGGGGGAUCCCGCCUUAAUAUCCGAUUUCGUGUUUCUCUUUCAGUGAUCCCGGUGACAGAAUGACACACUUUCUGUAAGCCCGUCACUGCAUCAGAAGCUCUUCCACUUUUGAUUUGUUUAAAUCAGCCAUGUUUGCCGAGUGUUUAAGGUUGGGCUGGGAAAGAUAGUGCUGUGCGUUGCUCAAGGGUGUAGGAGAGGCCAGGCAGUGCCUCUUCCUGAUUCCUUUGUUGCUAGAAACGCCGAACCCCCCCGUCCAUUACAGGUUUCCCUCUGCGCUUUAAAGGGACUCCGGGUUUCUAUGGCGUUGUGCCACGGCUGCCUCACACGCACGCACACACACACUCACGCACACGCACACGCACGCCCAGCAAGCAGGGAAGAUACUUUGUAUUCGGUUAAUAACGUUUCAAAACUCUGCGCGACAAAAAGUUGUUGCUUUAAAUAAUUCGUUUCGUAUCGCAAACGCGUCUCAUUUCCAUUUUUAGUUGUCUAAAACGUUUUAUAUGUGUCUGGUUAUAAACUUUAAAGCUGGCAAACGAA